GACGAACGCUGGCGGCGUGCCUAAUACAUGCAAGUCGAGCGCAGGAAACCGUCUGAACCCUUCGGGGGGACGACGGCGGAAUGAGCGGCGGACGGGUGAGUAACACGUAAAGAACCUGCCCACGGGUCUGGGAUAACCACGAGACAUCGGGGCUAAUACCGGACGGGUUAUCGGACCGCACGGUCCGAGGAUGAAAGGCGAUCCGGCGUCGCCCGUGGAUGGCGUUGGGGUGCAUUAGCUAGUUGGAGGGGUAACGGCCCACCAAGGCGACGAUGCAUGGCCGACCGGAGAGGGUGAUCGGCCACACUGGGACUGAGACACGGCCCAGACUCCUACGGGAGGCAGCCGUAGGGAAUCUUCCACAAGGGACGAAAGUCUGAUGGAGCAACGCCGCGUGAACGAUGAAGGCCCUCGGGUCGUAAAGUUCUGUUGUAAGGGAAGAACAAGUGCCGCAGGCAAUGGCGGCACCUUGACGGUACCUUGCGAGAAAGCCUCGGCUAACUACGUGCCAGCCGCCGCAGUAAUAC
rnacentral:rRNA from 1 species